rnacentral:rRNA from 1 species
UACGAAGGGGGCUAGCGUUGCUCGGAAUCACUGGGCGUAAAGCGCACGUAGGCGGCUUGUUAAGUCAGGGGUGAAAUCCUGGAGCUCAACUCCAGAACUGCCUUUGAUACUGGCGAGCUUGAGUUCGGGAGAGGUGAGUGGAACCGCGAGUGUAGAGGUGAAAUUCGUAGAUAUUCGCAAGAACACCAGUGGCGAAGGCGGCUUACUGGUCCGGUUCUGACGCUGAGGCGCGAAAGCGUGGGGAGCAAACAGG